rnacentral:rRNA from 1 species
AUUGAACGCUGGCGGCAGGCCUAACACUUGCAAGUCGUGCGAUCGGCGGACGGGUGAGGACUGUCUUGGAAACUGCCUGUUGGAGGGGGAUAACUUCUGUAAACGGUAGGUAAUACCGCAUACCAUCAGAUGUGACCAGAUGGGUUUGGCUAGUAGGUGGGGGAACGCCUCACCUGGGCGAGGAUCCUUAGCUGGUCUGAGAGGACGACCAGCCACACUGGAACUGAUGCAGGGUCCCGACUCCUACGGGAGGCAGCAGUGGGGAAUAUUUCACAAUGGGCGGUAGCCUGAUGCAGCCAGGCCACGUGUGAAACGAAAGCCUUCGGGUUGUAAAGCACUUUCAGCGGGGAGGCGUUACCCGCAGAAAAAGCACCGGCUGACGCCGUGCCAGCAGCCGCGGUAAUAC